rnacentral:lncRNA from 1 species
AUCAAAUUCAGAGCCUUAAGGAUUCCUCAGGGUUUAUGGAAUGUAGUUUGAGGCACACAAGUGUCAACGUCUGAUGACAGGGAGGAAACAUAACACCCACAGUGGCGUCUUUGGCCACCAGUGCAUGAAAUGUCCUAUGAGUAAGUAGAUGGCCUGCACUGCCUUCCUGCUCCUGGAAUUCACCCUUUACACUGUCGCAUGGGAUGAUAGGACAAGUGUGUGUGAGUAGAGCCAAUGAUAAUUAGAAGUCACUCCCCUCAUUGCCAUGUGAAGACAAUGUUAAUUAAUUAAAAGUGGAUUACCUCUGUGGUUGGAGAAAUGAAAUAAGGGCAUUGUGGAUUGCAUCUCCUGAAGCAGAAACACAGCACAAUUAUUUCUGUUCUUGUAUUUCAAUAUCAAAACUACCUUAUUUGAAAUCCUCUCACUCUAGAUUUUAAGAUGCCUCUGUCUUUCAGAAGGCAUCAUGCUUAGCUUUGCAGGGUGGGGGUGUGAAGUUGCCUAACUCUUUCUCUUGCCUCUGGGCAAUGUCAGGCAGGGGCAACUGACUGAUUUGUCAAACAUUUUAUUUAUGUCAUUCAUGAAAUAGAAAUAUAUAAAGGAAAAUAUGCUCUUUGCUUUGAAAAAUUAAGAUGUACUGGGUGCAUAUGUGGUUAUAUGACUCAAUACAGGCCAACUGUGCUUGUGUACAAGCCAGAAAAAAAAUUUGUGUAUAUGCACUAAAAAAAAUGAAAUAUACAAUCAAGCUAGUUAAUAUACCUUUCACUUUACAGAGUUACCAUUUUUGUGGUAAGAUUAAUGAAUAUCAAAAUAACAUAUUUUAGGCAAGUAUAGGGGCAGAUGCCCAUAAUCCCAGCAGCUCUAGAGGCUGGGUGAGACAGGAGGAUCACAACUUUGAGGGCAGCCUUAGCAAUUUUACCCUUAGCAACUUAGUGAGACCCUGUAUCAAAAUAAAAUAUAAGGGACUGGGGAUGUGGCUCAAAUAGUUAAGCGACCUUGGGUUCAGGCUUCAGCAUAAAAAAAAUCACAUUUUACACUUUGAAUGUGUACAAUUAUACAUUGCACACAUUCAAAGUGCAAAAUGUGGCAAGUCAGCUAUACCCCAAUAAAGCUGAAAAUAAUAAUGAAAAGCAAUACAUGAUUUAUUUAAAAAGUAUGUGUUUAUGUACUUUUUAAUGGUAGAAAAGAGAUAUUGUUUUAAAAAUAUAUAUUGUAAGUUAUCAUAAGCUACGACUAGGAACAGCAGGAAUCACAGAUAAAAUUCUACCAAAAAGACAUUAUUAUUUGUGUACCUCUUACUUUUAUACAUUCCUUUACUCUUAGAAAAAUUUGAUGAAGAUUCAAAGUCUUAUUUGAUCCAAUAUUCAUUUUGAUUAAGAAUAUGUCUUCAAACCACAUUUGAGCUUUUCCAGAAAGUGGAAGAGAAAAAAAUCUGUGGCUUCCUUUGGCUCUCACAAGGAGUAGGUUGUGAAGAGGGCUUGGACUUGCCUUCUGCCCAGGACUUUCACCUUGGAGAAUUCAUCAAAACAGGAGAUGGAGAUGCUAUGGAAACCGGGAAAGAGAGUUGUUGCAUGCUAGCCAGUGGGAAAAUAACCACUAUUCCCUUCUGGAAGCAAAUUUAAAAGCAAAACGUGUGUGUGUGCAUGUGUGUGUGUGUGUGUGUGUGUGUGUGUAGCCUUAAACAACACAGGCUUUGGAAAAGCUGCAUUUACACUGCAUCUCUUACCAGUUGUAAAAGGAUAAUCAUCUAUUUACAAUGAUUUGGUCGCUGCAUCUUUUGCAGCUAUUAAUUCAAAACAGCCUCAAACUGUUUAAAAGUAGAAUUGUGCUAUAAUGACUUUCCUCAAGGAAAGAGACUGAGUAUGAAAUUGAGUUCCUUGGGAAAGCACAUUCUGAAUUCUGCCAGCAGGAAGCCCCUCUUGUGAAUUGACAGGGAUAGGAGGUUCCAUCCCCAUCACUUCAGCUAGACAAAUAUUCCUCAAGAGCUGCACGUUCUGGCCCACUUUUUCUCUUUUCUUUGUCUUUGUGUGUAUGAGCUUGUGUAUGAUUUCUCUUUGCAAUAAUGCAUGCUGCUCCAACCAUCAUUAAAAUGAUUGAUUUUAUCCUGUUUUCCUGAUCAUUUUGUUGGUUCAGUGACUGGUAAGAGCACCUACAUUUUCUUUGAAGUCUUUUCUUGUGAUGAGGCUUCCUUUCAGGACUGUUAGCCUUUUUCCAGAAUUCUCCUGAGCAUUGUAUAUAAGGCAACCACCUGUUCGAUUUCCAUGUCUCUUGUCUCCUAGGGAUUACCUGUCCAAUUCUAGUGCACACUUUUUAGAAAUCCUAAGGGUUUCUGAUAAGACUGGAGGGAAUUGAUACUGUUUGCUAUUUAUGGAUGUGGAUGACAAGCCACCCCUAAAAGAGUCCCUCCCUUUCCAGAAAUAUCAAUAUUUGUUAAUUGUGGGUUUUGUGGGCACCUCUGAGAAUCUACCUACAUGAGUUGACAAUUGCAACUUAAUUUAAUCACUACGCAGGAUCUGAAAAUAGCUUUUAAAUCAGAGCCUAGAAACUUACAAAGCUUCCAGCCCCCAUGGAACCUAAGCUUGGGGAUUUUUAAGUCCUAGUGACAUUUUUUUUUGGAAUGUUAAGAUUUAGAGUUGGACUUGCUAAGCUAACACAUUAAACUGAAAACGAAAAUUAAAAAAAACAAAUUCCCAGCAAUUAACAAUGA